CCGGACCGGCGCACGGGUGAGUAACACGUAUGGAACCUGCCCUAUGCAGGGGGAUAAGCGGAAGAAAUUCCGUCUAAUACCGCAUAACACCUUUAGGAGACAUCUUCUUGGGGUCAAAGGAGGCGACUCCGGCAUAGGAUGGCCAUGCGUCGCAUUAGCUAGUCGGCGGGGUAACGGCCCACCGAGGCGACGAUGCGUAGGGGUUCUGAGAGGAAGGUCCCCCACACUGGUACUGAGACACGGACCAGACUCCUACGGGAGGCAGCAG
rnacentral:rRNA from 1 species